GGGUGGACAGGUGGUGCAUGGUUGUCGUCAGCUCGUGUCGUGAGAUGUUGGGUUAAGUCCCGCAACGAGCGCAACCCUCGACCUUAGUUGCCAGCAUUCAGUUGGGCACUCUAAGGUGACUGCCGGCUAAAAGUCGGAGGAAGGUGGGGAUGACGUCAAAUCAUCAUGCCCCUUAUGACCUGGGCUACACACGUGCUACAAUGGGCGGUACAAAGGGUCGCGAACCCGCGAGGGGGAGCCAAUCCCAAAAAGCCGCUCUCAGUUCGGAUUGCAGGCUGCAACUCGCCUGCAUGAAGCCGGAAUCGCUAGUAAUCGCGGAUCAGCAUGCCGCGGUGAAUACGUUCCCGGGCCUU
rnacentral:rRNA from 1 species